GAUGAACGCUGGCGGCGUGCCUAAUACAUGCAAGUCGAGCGAACAGACGAGGAGCUUGCUCCUCUGACGUUAGCGGCGGACGGGUGAGUAACACGUGGAUAACCUACCUAUAAGACUGGGAUAACUUCGGGAAACCGGAGCUAAUACCGGAUAAUAUAUUGAACCGCAUGGUUCAAUAGUGAAAGACGGUUUUGCUGUCACUUAUAGAUGGAUCCGCGCCGCAUUAGCUAGUUGGUAAGGUAACGGCUUACCAAGGCAACGAUGCGUAGCCGACCUGAGAGGGUGGUCGGCCACACUGGAGCUGAGACACGGUCCAGACUCCUACGAGAGGCAGCAGUAGGGAAUCUUCCGCAAUGGGCGAGAGCCUGACGGAGCAACGCCGCGUGAGUGAUGAAGGUCUUCGGAUCGUAAAACUCUGUUAUUAGGGAAGAACAAAUGUGUAAGUAACUAUGCACGUCUUGACGGUACCUAAUCAGAAAGCCACGGCUAACUACGUG
rnacentral:rRNA from 1 species